UGCAGUUCCACUGCAAUCUCUUCUGCAAUUGUCAUUAACAAAACCCUGCAUUCUGGAAUCUUACUGAAAUUAAGCAAUGACAUUGAAGCAAGAACCUUGUGCUCGAUCCGGUGACCAUUUUCCAAGCUUUCUUUCAGAUUAGAUAUGAGGGCGGAGAAGGCAGAGAGGUGGAACUCGGCAUCAGAUAGUGCAGAAAGUGCACAGCUCAACCAUGCAAUAGUGGUUAGGCAUGCCUUCACUAAAUCUAAGUUUCCAGAAGCUAAGCACUUUGAAAUGACCUCUAAGAAUGAUUUCCUUCCAUUACCAAGUAAAGAUGUUGACAAGUUCCUGAGCCACUCAUCGAUAGUUUCUUCAUCUUCCAAUAAAAAAGAGUCAUCAAGUGAUAAA
rnacentral:misc_RNA from 1 species